rnacentral:rRNA from 1 species
UACGGAGGGGGCUAGCGUUGUUCGGAAUUACUGGGCGUAAAGCGCACGUAGGCGGCUUUGUAAGUUAGAGGUGAAAGCCCGGGGCUCAACUCCGGAAUUGCCUUUAAGACUGCAUCGCUAGAAUUGUGGAGAGGUGAGUGGAAUUCCGAGUGUAGAGGUGAAAUUCGUAGAUAUUCGGAAGAAACACCAGUGGCGAAGGCGACUCACUGGACACAUAUUGACGCUGAGGGUGCGAAAAGCGUGGGGAGCAAACAGG